rnacentral:rRNA from 1 species
ACGUUCAUAAUUAUCACGUUGAAUACACCAGUUCUCGUCCGAUCACUGAAGUUAAGCAACGUCGAGCGUGGAUAGUACUUGGAUGGGUGUAGGAUUGGUAGGAUUUUUAUUUUGGUACAUA